CUAAUUCUCAAUGCUGCGUUUUCUGGAAAGCAAUCUGCCAACAUUUUAAAGGAAAUGAUCUUUGGUGCUCUGAAGGAGGCAGUUAACUGGAAAUUCCAACUGCCUGGCCUUCAAAUGGUCUGAGCUUCUGUGCUUGGUGGCAGCUGAUUGGCUGUUAGCAAAGCGGACUGGACCCCUCAAACCAGUAAACUGAAAACUCCGCUCCUGAUGUUGGGUUUUCUUUCUCAGCCUAUUUGGAACAAAACUCGGGAAAAUAUAAAAAAGAAAAGUGCAACUAGUUGGGCAUCCCAUUAAGAGAGAAUUACAGUAAGAAAGAAGGGCCCUACCACAGGACAAAUUGACAGCGCAGUCACUAUUCCGUGCUAAUGGACUGACUUCACAUGAACAGACGGUGGAGGAGUGUCAGAAACUUCGCGGGAUCUGGAUUUUACUCUACCUACAGCUGGCAAGUCAGUCUGGUACUGUUUCUUGGAUGCUGGCAGAGGACACAACACUCCUAAGUCAGAGACAAAGGACUUUAUCACCCACAGCAAAAGCAGUAGCCAGAGUGUCUGCGUGACUCUCCCUCCAGUGCUCCAUGCCCCGGAGUUCCGUGCAGGAGACAUCCAUCAGGGAUGCUGCAUUAAUUUAGUAGGGCCACUAUAACAAACACCACGGCCUGGGUGGCUCAAACAACAAAUUUACGGUCUCAAUUCUGGAGGCUUGAAGUCUGGGAUCAAAGUAUUAGCAGGGUUGGUUCCUUCUGAGGGCCAUGAGGGAGGGAUCUGUUUGAGGUCUCCCUCCUUAACUUGUAGUUGGCCAUCUUUUCCCUGUGUCUUCAGCAUCCUCUUCCCUCUGUAUGAAUGUGUGUCCAAGUUUCCUCUUCUUAUAAGGACAUCAGUCGUGUUGGACCAGGGCCCACCCUAAUGAUCUUGUUUUAACUUAGUCACCUCUGUAAAGAUCAUAUCUCCAAAUGCGACCGCGCUCUGAGAUACCAGGGGUUAGGACUUCAGCAUAUGAAUUUUGAGGGGGAACACAACUCAGCCCGUAACAGAUGCUUGCUUACACACAUAGUGGGGUGCAUUACAGGAGAGGAACCCUGAGCUUGGUGGAUUCACCAUGGAUGCAAGCCUGCUGUUGUCCAGGGGGGACAUUGCCCCAUC
rnacentral:lncRNA from 1 species